rnacentral:tRNA from 1 species
UGCCCGGAUAGCUCAGUCGGUAGAGCAGGGGAUUGAAAAUCCCCGUGUCCUUGGUUCGAUUCCGAGUCCGGUCGCCC